UGGGGAAUAUUGCACAAUGGGCGCAAGCCUGAUGCAGCCAUGCCGCGUGUGUGAAGAAGGCCUUCGGGUUGUAAAGCACUUUCAGCGAGGAGGAAGGUGGUGGACUUAAUACGUUCAUCAAUUGACGUUACUCGCAGAAGAAGCACCGGCUAACUCCGUGCCAGCAGCCGCGGUAAUACGGAGGGUGCAAGCGUUAAUCGGAAUUACUGGGCGUAAAGCGCACGCAGGCGGUUUGUUAAGUCAGAUGUGAAAUCCCCGGGCUCAACCUGGGAACUGCAUUUGAAACUGGCAAGCUAGAGUCUCGUAGAGGGGGGUAGAAUUCCAGGUGUAGCGGUGAAAUGCGUAGAGAUCUGGAGGAAUACCGGUGGCGAAGGCGGCCCCCCUGGACGAAGACUGACGCUCAGGUGCGAAAAGCGUGGGGAGCAAAACAGGAUUAGAUACCCUGGUAGUCCACGCUGUAAAACGAUGUCGAUUUUGG
rnacentral:rRNA from 1 species